CGGCAGUCCCGUCCUCGCCAGGCGAGUCCUCCACUUUGCUGGCACUCCCUUCCACUCCCUUCAUGAUCUAGUGGCAUGGCGCAUCAUCUGUAUCUCCAUCUCGCCGGCACUUUCCUCCGCACCACCGAGUAUCAUGGCCGUCCGUAGCCAGCCACAUCGGCGGCGCUCCUCACCACGCCGGCAGUUCCUCCGUGCCACUGCGUUGAGUGUGCAUGGCUGCAGGCAGCGACACUCUGUGGCCAG
rnacentral:lncRNA from 1 species